GCACUAGUAGCUCAGCCACCAGAGCGCCGAUUUUGUAAGUCGGAUGCCGUGGGUUAAAAUCCCACCUGCUGCU
rnacentral:tRNA from 1 species